UCCGAAGGGGGCUAGCGUUGUUCGGAAUUACUGGGCGUAAAGGGCGCGUAGGCGGUCUUGUAAGUCAGAUGUGAAAGCCCCGGGCUCAACCCGGGAAUAGCAUUUGAUACUGCGAGGCUUGAGACCGGGAGAGGAUGGCGGAAUUCCCAGUGUAGAGGUGAAAUUCGUAGAUAUUGGGAAGAACACCGGUGGCGAAGGCGGCCAUCUGGACCGGUACUGACGCUGAGGCGCGAAAGCGUGGGGAGCAAACCGG
rnacentral:rRNA from 1 species